GACGAACGCUGGCGGCGCGCUUAACACAUGCAAGUCGAGCGGUAAGGCUCCUUCGGGAGUCCACGAGCGGCGAACGGGUGAGUAACACGUGAGUAAUCUGCCCUUCACUUCGGGAUAACCACCGGAAACGGUGGCUAAUACCGAAUACGACCAGUCUUCGCAUGAGGUGCUGGUGGAAAGUCUUUUCGGUGAAGGAUGUGCUCGCGGCCUAUCAGCUUGUUGGUGGGGUAAUGGCCUACCAAGGCUUCGACGGGUAGCCGGCCUGAGAGGGUGACCGGCCACACUGGGACUGAGACACGGCCCAGACUCCUACGGGAGGCAGCAGUGGGGAAUAUUGGACAAUGGGCGAAAGCCUGAUCCAGCAACGCCGCGUGAGGGAUGACGGCCUUCGGGUUGUAAACCUCGUUCAGUACCGACGAAGCGCCCUGUCGGGUGGUGACGGUAGGUACAGAAGAAGGACCGGCCAACUACGUG
rnacentral:rRNA from 1 species